GGAAGCAGAGGCUGACGAGAGGGGCCAAGAGGCACAGAUGAGGCAGGCUGCUGAAGAAGCCAGCGGUAGGAAAUCUGUAGCCCUCCAAAUGUUGCCCUACUAACGGAUCUAUGACAUGCUGCAGACUGCCUGAAUGAAGCAUGCAGAACACCGUUUGUGAACCUCUGCAGUACAGUAAUCAAUAGCAUACAGCAAUCAGUGGUGCUGAUUUGUGGGGUCACUCCAGCUACGAUUCAAAGGCCUGCAUAAGAAAUAGAUCUGAAGCUAUCACCUGAGUGUGCAAAACUGCAAAAUCUGUACAGGGAUGAACCCAGGUUGCCUGGUUAUGGGAAAUGCUCUUUUUCAAAUACACACAUAUGAUCCAAGAUAGGCAUCUUCUGUGACACUGAAAGAAUCCUGCAGUUCAGUUAUCCAACUGCACAUGGAUUUGCUGGUGUACCAACUAUAUUGGUGCUUCAAGCAACUGUGUGAGUUGCCUGUACACUUGAGCUAGCCUUACAAGAGUGGUUUCAUUGAGGAAUUUGGUGCAAAAAAAAUGUAGGUAAAUGGUACCAGUCCCAGUACUGAAAUAAGUCAGUACACAUGUGAAAUCAGUCAAACACUUUUAUAUGGAUUUUAGUAGAGAUGCCCACAAUAUUUUAAAAAUAAUAUGCUCUUGUGACAGAAUCCAUUUGUUCCCUUUCACUAUGUGUUAAUUCACCGUUUCUUAUCACCCUCUAAUUUCUGCUGAAUGAAUUCACAAUUCCCAGCACCAAUGGUUGAUACUUAAGUUGCCUGUUUUCACAAGUUAACAAGAAGCAGUCUGGUGUAAACAUAGCAGUUAACAUAUUCUGUAUUGUGACUAUUAUAUAAAGAACAGAAUAGCUUUUGAUUCAUCUCAACUCAGAGUAACUGGUUGAGUGUUGUGUGUCACAGUUUAUUAACUAUUUAGAAUUAUAACCAACCCUUCAAAUAUAUCAUCAGAGCAGCUUUAUAAUGAAAUCUGAAAACACCACAAAAUAGCUAAUGCAUUAAUAAUCUUAAAAGUAAGAACAAUUAUAAAUACAGCAUCAAAAUAAAACCCUUUUUUUAGAAAGCUAAAAAAUGACCAGCCCUGGGAAGAGUGGAUGCCAAGUAAGCCCCUUCUGAAGCCAGGGCACCCCACUAAAAGCUGUCUCCCCAGUAAUCACCUGCUGCACCUCAGAUGCUGUGGAGGCAGCUAGAGAAAGGCUCUGUUGAGAAAGGAUGGAUGGAACAGCACGUGUGGAGGCACAAUUGUGCAGAACGGGAUUCAGUUCUGACAGCUUUAUUAAGCUAAUAUGCAGAAUUGCAUGGUUGUUUUUAGCAACUGUUCUCUGCUGCUUUAUCUAUUUGUUGGUAAUAUGUUUCUUGCUUUUAUUACAUUAUUAUCAGCCACUUUAGAAGUUUUAAAAUAAAUGUGUUGCUGGAAGAUUGCAGGUGAGGAAAUAGUGUCAUCUAGCUGGGAUGGUUGGGUAUUAUCCUGGUAAGCGGCACUAAAAAGCCAGCUGUUGAGAAAAGCCAUUCCUGUUGGAUACUAACCAUGUGGCAGUGUUGCCAAGCAAUCGGCUACUGCUUCUGAUUUUAUCCUAAAGCUCCCACACUAAACCCCAACUGCUGGCCUGCAAUCCAUUUGGAGGGAUACCCCAAUGCUGAAGACGACGAGGGUUACAACAACAACAACAGCAAGAAGAAGAAGAAGAAGAAGAAGAAGAAGAAGAAGAAAGAGGACUAGAGGGAUACUACAGUCAGUUGACUAGAUGAUACUCUUUCCUGGAUUGCUUCCUCACGUGUGCAAGAGCACACCUUUCUCCCAUCCACUUGACACUCCUAUCACAACUCUCAUACUGAACUCUCAUACUGCUGAUUUCCUUGACAUCUGACGGGAGAGUGUUCCACAGGGAGGGCACCGCUACCGAGAAGGCCCUCUGCAUUCUUUGGCUGGGAAGUGCUCUUGACACCACGUGCAUUUACCUUUUUCACACUAUGAGUGGCAUUCAGCUAAGUUUUAUUCAUAGUAGACCCACUGAAAUUAAUAGACCUCACUGUGUUCAUUAAUUUUAUGUUCUACUUCAAAACUUAGUUGAAUCCCAUUCUGUCUCCAUAUGUGGAUAUCAAAUGAGGGCAAGGAGAGAAGGUUUCAUCUCGCUCCCCAGAACACACACCUGGAUCAAAGCAUCAGGCAGUCUAGCCUGUAAAACAUUUUGGCAUCCAUUUUAAAGUCCUGCGAGAAGCAUAGUGCUGUUCGCUCAAAAUUAUUUUCUAAUUUCUCUGGAGAUAUGUGAUUGUAUAACAGUAUUGAAGCUGGGAGGGGGGUGGAUUAUCUGUUUACCUAGUUCAUUCCCCUGCCACUUCAGAACUGCUUAUUCCUGUAUAUUCUCUAGUGCUUUGCUUACAGUCUGCUAUUGUUUACUAAGGACAUUUAAUCCUAUCAUGCAAAGCUCUAAUUGUUUAAAGCAUAAUUAUAGAUGUUAAAUUGUUUUGCUUUUUAUGAUAAAAUGUCCUUUGGAGAGAAUCAAAACAGAAAUUAAAUGAAUGUAAAAUGGAAUUAUUUAAAAAGUCACUAAUUGAAUACUAGGCAAUUAAAAUUAGAAGCUUUUUGAUGAAAUAAUUAUUUUAAUUAUACAGCGCACUUAGGUUCCCCAUUUGUAAACACUUCAGCGUUUAUCAUUAAGAUGGAUUUUCAUGUACACUUGUUCUGCUUGUUUUAUUUAAGAAAAACAGGUACUCCAGAAUGCCCACAAGGACCAUCCACAAACUGGUUCAAUCAAAAUAUGUUGACUCAAACUGAUUUAAGUUCAAUUGAAGCAAAUAGAAUUUAAGCCCAAUUUACAUAGUGCACUACACCAGCAACAUGGCUGAUCCCAGGACACCAAAAUUCAUGGAUACCUAUAUAUUUGUACAGCUGCCUGCUUUAUGACCAGUUGCAUCAUUUUCAGGGGGGUUGCAUGUGUCAGGUCAGGAACUUUUCUAAAUGUUAAGUUGAAAGAGCAGCAUUUACAUAACAUUAUUCAAUCAGAAAAAGUCUGCAAGAGCUAUUGUAGGAGAUAGUCUGUAAGAAUGCCAGUAAGGUUCACUUCCUAUAUUACAGCCUUGUGUUACAGAACUAGAUGAAUUAGCAAAGGUACUUCCUAUUGAUUGCCACAAACUCCUGUUCCUGUAAUGUUCCUAAGCAUAUUCAUCCAGCCCAGGUGACCUUUUCAAAUACAAGAUUAACUUGCAGGGAUAUUCCUAUGCAGUUAAAAUAUAAUGGCCACAAUCCAAAACCCCACAAGGUUUUCCGUGUACAGAGAGAGUUGCACAUCAACAGGGGCCGCUCUAUGUUCACAAUGUACCGUACUUCCCAUCAUAGAAGAUGGUAAGGCAAAUCCAGCAGACAUAUACCUGUCUGCAUCAGUGCCACUGCACUGGGGUCAAUGUAAAGGACAGUUUUGCAUGAUAAGCAAACUACCACAAUAAUCCUCUAGUAUGUGGCCUUGAAAUUAACUAACAUUUUAUAACUGUAUCAUUUAUAAUAUAUAUCUUCCUUUUAAUAUGCUGCAGUUCUUAUUUCACUGACCGUCUCUAAUUCACAAAGGAGGUCAUUAAUAUUCCUACUUGACUGAUGAAUAAAUGUUUAUGAGUAAAUGUUGAAUGUUUAUAUAUUGCAUGGUUUAUUUGUAUUGACUAUAUCCUAGGACUUCACAGUGAAUGGCAGGCUAUAAAUAAAUAAAUUUGGACCUGAUCAGAUUAUAUUUCCUCUGACCCAGCCCAUCACAUAGAAGGGAGCAUAAGUGUUCUUGUCUUCCCUGCCUACCAAGUGCUUGCAAUCCCUGUUUUUGGAGCUUUUGAAAAUGGCCUAUGCACAGAAAACACAAUGUGCAUUGGCCAACACUAUGCAGCCAUCCUCUGGAAAAAAUAUAUAAAAAUCAACCAAACUAUUUCAGCCUGUGUAUAAUGGAUUUUCUGACUGUUUUUGCUGCUAGGGAAAUGCCCCAUAGUCUACAGAGAUACUUUACGUAGACCUAUGGAAAGCCUAACAGAGGAAUCCUAUACAUAUCUACUGAAAAGUAAUUCUCACUGAAUUUAAUGAGACUUGCUCUCAGGUAAGUGUAUAUAGAUAGGAUUGCAACCUAGAAGUGCUUCAUUCUGUCCUUAUGGGUGGCCUUCAACUAAGUUUUACAGUAGACCCAAUGAAAUUCGUGAACAUGAAUAAAUUAGGUUUAUUCAUUUAAAUAGGCUUACUCUAAGUGUAACUGUGACUAUAACUUAGUUGAAUUCCACCCAAUAUCUAUAAAAGUGUAUGAAUGCUGUUAGAAUCAAAACAAGGAUGUAGUUGGCAAAUAAAAAGCUUUUUGAGUGAGAGGUCGAGAGAACUUUAACCAUAACACAUUAAUUCAAACAGAUUACCUUAAAAAGAACAGGGAGUAAAGUCCCAUUCCAUUCCUGUUUCAGAUUAGCAGAAAGCUUGUUUGGUCAGCUCAUUAUUUGGUUAAAGAAUAAGGAUCAUGAAAAUUGACUAUUUCUGUAUACGCCUGGUUAUCAUUACAGCAAAAGUUUGGUAUUUUGUGUGUCAUAUUUUAAGCUUGUAUUUUUAAAGUUUAGUUGUUAAUUAAAAAAAAGUUUAGUAAAGUUGUAUUCCUUUAGUUCUUUGUGAAUAAAAAUAAUGUCUAUG